rnacentral:rRNA from 1 species
CCUACGGGAGGCAGCAGUGAGGAAUAUUGGGCAAUGGACGGAAGUCUGAACCAGCCAAGCCGCGUGCAGGAUGAAGGCGCUAUGAGUUGUAAACUGCUUUUGUACGAGAAUAAGAGUUCUUACGUGUAGGGUUUUGCAUGUAUCGUGCGAAUAAGGAUCGGCUAACUCCGUGCCAGCAGCCGCGGUAAUACGGAGGAUUCGAGCGUUAUCCGGAUUUAUUGGGUUUAAAGGGUGCGUAGGCUGUCGGAUAAGUUAGAGGUCAAAGGUCGGGGCUUAACCCCGUGCCUGCCUCUGAUACUGUUCGACUAGAGGGCGGCUGCAGCCGGCGGAAUGUGUGGUGUAGCGGUGAAAUGCUUAGAUAUUACUCAGAACACCGAUUGCGCAGGCAGCUUGCUAAGCCGCAUCUGACGCUGAUGCACGAAAGCGUGGGUAGCGAACAGGAUUAGAUACCCGAGUAGUC